AUGAAGAGUAUGCAUAAGCCAGUGACAACAACCGCCACAACGGCAGCUUUGCAGCGAUUUCGCUACGACGUCAACAACAUUGACAUCCGACGAAGAACGCACAACCGCGAGACCCACGCAAAUGCUACACCGUCAUCACCGCGCAUCAUAACUCAUCCAGAUACGCCACCAUCUGCGGUGCACCCCCGGACACCUCUCCACGGGGACGCCCUCAACCGCGCCGACCAUCUACCACUGUCAACCAUCGAACGCACCUUCGACUAG